rnacentral:snRNA from 1 species
GUGCUGGCUUCAGCAGCCCAUACACUAAAAUUUGAACAAUGCAGAGAUGAACAAGGCCCCUGCACAAGAAUGGCAUGCAAAUUUAUAAAGUGUUGCAUAUUAAA